rnacentral:lncRNA from 1 species
CCAAGACCCACUUUCAGCCAUUGUGCUGAAACCCUGCCUUUGGAUAUGGUAGAUCCUGAAAAUCUGGGCAGGAAUGAGGUUCCUCCACGCAUAGCACCUCCCUUUCAUUCAGCCGGAUCUCCCAUUAGAAGCACAGGGCCCAGCAUGGAACUGGUUUACAGAGAAGCAUUUGCCUUGUUGCUGUUUGGAACGCUCCUGUAGUCUUCUGGAAACUUCCAGCUUCUUGGAGUAAGCAGCUACUGGAUCUCGUGGCUCUCCAGUGUGCAGGCACCAUUGUGGAAUAUCCUGCUUCUGAUCCUUCCAGCCUACCUAAUAAAUCUUUUUACAUAUUCUGUAUAUUGAUUCUGUUCCUCAAGAGAACUAUAACUGAUACAGAUGCUAUAAACCAGGGCUUUUCAACAACUGCAUUGCUUUCAGGGCCAAUGGGUGGAGACAUUUUGGAGAUGAGGAAACAACUGGUUGACAAGAUAAUUUGUAGACACUGCUAGCAUUUGUGAGCAGCAGUGAAGAAUGCUAGACAUUGGACCAGGCAUGCAAGCACUCAAGCACUCAAGAAGCUGAGAUCAUGACCUUCAUUGUGUUCUUGAACCACUGAUCUUGAGAAGAGCUGGAGAAGGCCAGUUUCUAUUGUUUUCUGAGACUCUUCUGGAGUACUAAAUGCUGAAGCAAAUGAAUAAUUAUGUUGACUUACUGUGUAUCAAGUUCUUUUAGAGUGAGAAAAAUGAGAUACAAAUGUAAGAUCUAUGAGGUUGAAUUUAAAACCCUAUAGCCCUGAACUGGAAUGAAAAGUUUCAACUCGGGAAAUAUUUUAUCUUUAAAAAGCUUUAGCUCUAUCCAUCAAAAAGCCUAGAAAUAAUGACAGUCCAUUAACAAUGAGCACUGUUAGUACCCAGAUUGUCAUCUCUACACAUAAUUUCCCAUUUUAAAGAAUCUGGACUUCUCAGAGAAGGC